rnacentral:rRNA from 1 species
GGACGAACGCUGGCGGCGUGCCUAAUACAUGCAAGUCGAACGGUCUUUCUAUGGAAGCUUGCUUCCACUGAGAAGAUAGUGGCGAACGGGUGAGUAACACGUGGGUAACCUGCCCAUAAGAGGGGGAUAACAUCCGGAAACGGGUGCUAAUACCGCAUAGUUUUCUUGAUCGCAUGAUCGGGAAAGGAAAGACGGCCUUUGUGCUGUCGCUUAUGGAUGGACCCGCGGCGUAUUAGUUAGUUGGUGAGGUAACGGCUCACCAAGACGAUGAUACGUAGCCGACCUGAGAGGGUGAUCGGCCACAUUGGGACUGAGACACGGCCCAAACUCCUACGGGAGGCAGCAGUAGGGAAUCUUCCGCAAUGGACGAAAGUCUGACGGAGCAACGCCGCGUGAGUGAAGAAAAGGUUUUCGGAUCGUAAAACUCUGUUGUCAGAGAAGAACAAGUUGGAGAGUAACUGCUCCAGCCUUGACGGUAUCUGACCAGAAAGCCACGGCUAACUACGUGCCAGCAGCCGC